AAUAAGUCUCUGUAUUGCGGA
rnacentral:misc_RNA from 1 species